rnacentral:sRNA from 1 species
AAUUUAGACACCGCAUCCACGACCGACACAUCUUCCCAAACAUCCUCCUCAUCCUUGUCCUCGUCAUAUUCACCAGCAAUUUGCUUCUUCUUCUUCUUCUUCUUCUUCUUCUUCUUCUUCUUCUUCUUCUUUCGUGCAUCUCCUACACCAUAUUGAGCA